AGCGAACGCUGGCGGCAGGCUUAACACAUGCAAGUCGAGCGCCCCGCAAGGGGAGCGGCAGACGGGUGAGUAACGCGUGGGAAUCUACCCAUCUCUACGGAAUAACGCAUGGAAACGUGUGCUAAUACCGUAUACGUCCUUCGGGAGAAAGAUUUAUCGGAGAUGGAUGAGCCCGCGUUGGAUUAGCUAGUUGGUGGGGUAAAGGCCUACCAAGGCGACGAUCCAUAGCUGGUCUGAGAGGAUGAUCAGCCACACUGGGACUGAGACACGGCCCAGACUCCUGCGGGAGGCAGCAGUGGGGAAUAUUGGACAAUGGGCGCAAGCCUGAUCCAGCCAUGCCGCGUGAGUGAUGAAGGCCCUAGGGUUGUAAAGCUCUUUCACCGGUGAAGAUAAUGACGGUAACCGGAGAAGAAGCCCCGGCUAACUUCGUGCCAGCCGCCGCCGUAAUAC
rnacentral:rRNA from 1 species